rnacentral:rRNA from 1 species
GAUGAACGCUGGCGGCGUGCCUAAUACAUGCAAGUCGAGCGAAUGGAUUAAGAGCUUGCUCUUAUGAAGUUAGCGGCGGACGGGUGAGUAACACGUGGGUAACCUGCCCAUAAGACUGGGAUAACUCCGAGAAACCGGGGCUAAUACCGGAUAACAUUUUGAACCGCAUGGUUCGAAAUUGAAAGGCGGCUUCGGCUGUCACUUAUGGAUGGACCCGCGUCGCAUUAGCUAGUUGGUGAGGUAACGGCUCACCAAGGCAACGAUGCGUAGCCGCACUGAGAGGGUGAGCGGCCACACUGGGACUGGGACCCGGCCCAGACUCCUACGGGAGGCAGCAGUAGGGAAUCUUCCGCAAUGGACGAAAGUCUGACGGAGCAACGCCGCGUGAGUGAUGAAGGCUUUCGGGUCGUAAAACUCUGUUGUUAGGGAAGAACAAGUGCUAGUUGAAUAAGCUGACACCUUGACGGUACCUAACCAGAAAGCCACGGCUAACUACGUGCCAGCCGCCGCAGUAA